GGCCUGAUGGUCUAGGGGUAUGAUUCUCGUUUUGGGUGCGAGAGGUCCCGGGUUCAAAUCCCGGUCAGGCCC
rnacentral:tRNA from 1 species